rnacentral:rRNA from 1 species
CACGUAGGCGGCUUCCUAAGUCGGAUGUGAAAGCCCCGGGCUUAACCUGGGAACUGCACCCGAAACUGGGUCGCUAGAGUAAGGGAGAGGGAAGCGGAAUUUCCGGUGUAGCGGUGAAAUGCGUAGAUAUCGGAAGGAACACCAGUGGCGAAGGCGGCUUCCUGGCCCAUUACUGACGCUGAGGUGCGAAAGCGUGGGGAGCAAACA